rnacentral:rRNA from 1 species
UACGAAGGGUGCAAACGUUGCUCGGAAUUAUUGGGCGUAAAGCGCACGUAGGCGGCUUGGCAAGUCGGAUGUGAAAUCCCUCGGCUCAACCAAGGAAGUGCAUCCGAAACUGCCGAGCUUGAGUACUUAAGAGGAUCGCGGAAUUCCCGGUGUAGAGGUGAAAUUCGUAGAUAUCGGGAGGAACAUCAGUGGCGAAGGCGGCGAUCUGGGAAGUUACUGACGCUGAGGUGCGAAAGCGUGGGGAGCGAACAGG